ACCUGUGGCAUAUGGAAGUUCCCGGCUAGGGAUCAAAUCAGAGCUACAGCUGCCAGCCACAGCCACAGCCACACCAGACGCAAGCUGCAUCUGCAACCUACACCACAGCUCAGAGUAAUGCCGGAUCCUUAACCCACUGAGAGAGGCCAGGGGUAGAAGCACAUCCUCAUGGAUACUAGUCGGAUUGGUUUCUGCUGUGCCACAACAGGAACUCCCUAUUCCUUGAAGAUUUUAGCACCAAACUUGCUGCUAUUCCCACACCAUUCCUCAUCAAUCUUAGAAUCCAUCAAUAUCCGCACAGAUGUCUGAAUUCCGUGACCAACUCUGAGUUCCUAACUCAGCCACACAAUCAGUCACACCCUAGAUCUUGAUUCUCAAUUUCAAGCAUCCUGCAACCACAGCCGCCCAUCUUCCCGGCUCACGCAGUAUAACCUGACUACGAAUUCCUCUACCUCCCUAGAAUCCCCAGUGCAGUGGUUCUAGCACUUUCCCACCAGGCCCUUCCCCCGCCUCAUGGCCUUUCCUUCACCCUUACUCAGCUUAGGCUCUACAGACCAUCAUCACACUCUUGCAUGGAGCCUCCCUCUGUCCUUUUUUGCCUGGCAGAACCCAAGGUUAGAUCCCAAUCUCCAUCUAACCAAACUGAAUGAUUCUGGAGGAAACCACAAACAUAGGAUGCCCAGUCUCACUUUAAAUCCAGGACCGCUCAUUUCAAUGGGCUCUUAGCUUUGCCCAGUAGGCUGUCAGCAUCUUCCACUCCUAGACAAUUAUUUCACACUUCCUUCUCCUCAAACUCUAAUUUGUACCUCACUUCCCUCUCUGCUUAUGACCUUGCUUCCUAUUUCAGCCAGAAAACAAAAGAAUUCAGAAGAGAAUUUCUGGACGCUCCCACCGCAUCUACAAAUCUACCUACAUGCCUAGCAAAAGCAAACUUCUCUAUGAGGUCUCAUUCCUUCUCUACAAUCCAGGAACACUGCUGCAAGGGUUUUCUCCCUCCUGGACUGCUCAUUUCAGAAAACAAACAUGCUAUAAUAUUCCCCAUCUUAAAAAACAAAUAUCCCUUGAUUUUUCUAUCAGUUAGCUAGGGCUGCCAUAGAGAAUACCAUAGACUGGGCGGCUUAAACAACCGAAAUUUGUUUUCUCACAGUUCUUGGGGCUGGAAGUCCAAGAUCAAGGUGCAGCAGGUGGGUUUCUGCAGACAUCUCUCUCCUUGGCUUGCAGAUGGUCACCUGCCCCUGUCCUCGCAUGGCGUUUGCAUGUUCAGUUCAUCUCUGGAGUCUCUCCCUCUUAUGAGGAUAACGAUCGUGCUGUAUUCAUGUCCCUCACAUGAUCUCAUUUAACAGUAAUUAUCUCCUUAAAGGUUCUGUCUCCAGUUAAAGCCCAUUAGGGCUCAGGGCUUCCAUCUCUGAACGUGGGGAGAACACAGUUCAGUCCCUCACAAUGUGUGCAUCUCCCUCUGAGAGCUGUUCCAUUAUUCUACUUCCCUUUAAAAAGACCUCAAAAAAUAACUGUUGCUCGUUAUCUCUACGUCCCCUCCUUGAAUUCCCGCUUGGAUCUAAUCCAGGCUUCGAUCUUUACUGCUCCACCAAAGCAGCUCUUGUCAAGGUCAUUGGUAAUAGCCACGUUAAUGGAAUCCAGUGGUCACUUCCUGGUCUUCAUCCUUUUCGACCCAUCGACAGCACGAUCAAAGAUGAUCACUUUCCCUUCCAAAAAACAAUGUCUCCACUUGGUCUGUGUGGCUUCACUCUUCUUAAUCACCCAUCUCACUGACGCUCCUUCUCCGUCUCCCUUGGUAGCUCCUCCUCAUCUUUCCAGUCUCAACAUGCUUAAGAGCGCCAAAGAUCAGUUCUUGUGUUUUUAUCUUGCCCUCCCAUCCUAGGUGAUCUUAUUUGCUCACGAGUUUAAGUAACUUUUCUACACUAUGGCUCCCAAAUUUGUCUCCAGCUCCAAACUCCCUAUGAUUAUACCCAACAGUUUACUUAACAUCUCUACUUGGAUGUAUCAUAAGCACUUCAUCUUUAAUAUGGUCACCACAGGGAGUUCCUGUCGUGGCUCAGCAGUUAACAAAUCCGACUAGGAACCAUGAGGUUGCAGUCAAUCCUUUCAUACUUGAAUGUAAGUUCCAUGAAGGCAGGGAUUUGACAUUUAUUAACCACCCUAGCAGGGAUUUGACAUUUAUUAUUGUCCCCAGGUAGGGCAAUUCCUGACAGAGGGUUAAUACUUUGCUGAAUGAUUAAAGAUCUCAUUGGCAGAAUGUUUAGUUUGGAUCACCUUGGUAAUGGUUUCCACGAGCCAGACUUCCCUUCCCCCAAACUCUGAUAUUUUUCAUUUAACCAAAUACCACUUGGAAAAAAACCUCUCAAACCUGCUGGAUAAAUGAUACGCACCUUAGGGACUAGCCUUGAAUUUUCCAAUUACCUCAGACAUCUAGGGAAUUGCUUGCCAGGAAGACGCUUGUUGUAUUACAUCACUUUCCCCCCACGUGUCUCUUCAUGAAUCAGAUUUCAGAACUGAGGAGAAAAAGCUUGUCAUUUAUUUCAGUUGGAAAAAAGGUCUUGGUAAUUGGAUAACUGUACUAUAAAGGAAAUUCUAGUGCAAUAGGACAUUUCUAUAAGACAGGUAGGCUCUGGCAAUUGUCCUAGGCUUUAAGCAAUAUUAAUGGUAGCAGUUCUGUUCCAAACAUUUAAAAAGGUUGUGCAGGUUGUGAGGGGGAAGGGGAGGCUGUUGUUUGCUAUGUCUUAAUGCAGCUGAAAAACUUGGCAACAUCAGACUGAUCUGCAGAGCCCACGAUUCCAAGGUAAAGACAAAAAGAAGUUUCAGGAUUUAGGAAUUGCCUCCAGUGUAGCCAAGCGCUUCAGAAAUCACCUUUGCGUGGGGAGCACCCGCAGCAACAAGGUGCAGCACUGGGAUGUAAGCACUGGGUGUUACAGGCAGGAAAAAAAAGAGCCACAAACGACAGCCUCCGUCUCCUGGGAUGUUGUAACAGGAUAAACACCUUGGCUGUCUUGGAUAACAAAUAAACACACACACCCAGCAGCCCACUCAUGCUCCAAUCUCCCAAAUACAGUAGUCACUCAGCUCCAGAGGCUGUGUCUGUAUGUGUUAGGUUUGGCUCAAUGAAGAGGGGGUUGGGUGAAGGGAAUGUUAAUUAAAAGCAGAACGGAGGAAGAGGCAUUUCGCUCUUUGCCUUAUUACCGUCUGCAUGUUGAUGUCCGUGCCUUCAUCACUUCCUCCCGAUGUAGCUCUCAUUGCCGUGGCCGCUUCACAGCCACAUGUGCCGAUGUGAAGAACACCUGUCUCCCCUGCUAGGCUGGAAGCCUCGGGAGGACGCGGGUUAUUUCUGGUUUCGCUGGCCCUUCUAUUUUUUAGUGGCUGGGAGUGCCUGGCACAUUUACCGCAGGUUUUUAAAUUAACGUAUGAAGAGUUAAAAAGUACAAGCAUUCCUCCCAUCCUUUCACACGUACUCUCCA
rnacentral:lncRNA from 1 species